UACGUAGGGGGCUAGCGUUGUCCGGAAUCAUUGGGCGUAAAGCGCGUGUAGGCGGUUCGGUAAGUCCGCUGUGAAAGUCGGGGGCUCAACCCUCGGAUGCCGGUGGAUACUGUCGAGCUUGAGUACGGAAGAGGCGAGUGGAAUUCCUGGUGUAGCGGUGAAAUGCGCAGAUAAUCAGGAGGAACACCAAUUGCGAAGGCAGCUCGCUGGGACGUACUGACGCUGAGACGCGAAAGCGUGGGGAGCAAACAGG
rnacentral:rRNA from 1 species